rnacentral:lncRNA from 10 species
CUCAAACUCUUGAGUUCAAGCGAUCCACCUUCCUUGGCCUCCCAAAGUGCUAGGAUUACAGGUGUGAACCACCGCACGUGGUCGAGCAGCUGUUUUGAGGAUAAUCAAAGACUAAAGGAAGACUUCACAUUGUUCACCUUCCGUAUGCGCCCCCCCACCAGACGGAAUGAGGACAACCUGCUUCCCCUGCACUCGUACCCCUAGCUCAGCACUAUCCAGACCUUCGCAGGGAUUGUCUCCUUUGAUUCUUGCAAGAAUUCUCCAGGCACCUGUUACCAAUGGGGAAACUGAGGCACGGGCAGUAAUGCCAUGAGUGGCAGGGCCGGUGUGGCCAGGAACAAUGGUCUGGAGGAAGGAGGUUCGCUCUGAAGUUUGGAGGAGAAUGCUUGUAAAACCUCUGUCCACCAUACACUUUGGUAAAACGUCCUGGCCAUCUCCAUUCUCCAUUCUCUCCUUUGAUCCUCACAAGAUCUCCGUGGGGUACGGGCUAUGCCUGUCUUUACCUCACAGGUGAGGACUCUGAACUGACACACAGAGAGGGGAAGUGGCUUGUCUGGGGUCAGGCAGUAAGCAACUGUCUGGGCCAGGAUUUGAACCAGGCUCAACUUCCACUUUCUGGGGAAAGGUCAUUCCAGGCUAGCAGAGCACUCACUAACCGAUUUACUGUGGGGUCCUGCUCACACCUCCUGGGUCCUACAGGGGCCCUGAGAGCCUGUGUAGAGGGCUGAGAGGAGUGGAAGGGAGGGCAACUUGGGCCAGGCAGGUGGACAGCUGGGGAGGAGACGGAAAAGGCCACUUCAAAAUGCUAGAGUCACAGAGGCCAGAGGUUUUUGUCCUAGAGAGUGUCUUAAAGUUCAGCCAGGGCCGGGCGCGGUGGCUCACGCCUGUAAUCCCAGCACUUUGUGAGGCCGAGGCGGGCAGAUCACUUGAGGUCAGGUGUUUGAGGCCAGCCUGGCUAACAUGGUGAAACCUCGAC